rnacentral:rRNA from 1 species
AUUGAACGCUGGCGGCAUGCCUAACACAUGCAAGUCGAACGGCAGCACGGGAGCUUGCACCUGGUGGCGAGUGGGGAACGGGUGAGUAAUACAUCGGAACAUGUCCCGUAGAGGGGGAUAGCACGUCGAGAGCCCGAUUAAUACCGCAGACGAUCUAUGGAAGAAAGCGGGUGACCUUCGGGCCUCGCGUUUUAGGGUCGGUCGAUGGCGGAUUAGCUAGUUGGUGGGGUAAUGGCCUACCAAGGCGACGAUAAGUAGCCGGUCUGAGAGGACGACCAGCCACACUGGAACUGAGACACGGCCCAGACUCCUACGGGAGGCAGCAGUGGGGAAUUUUGGGCAAUGGGCGAAAGCCUGAUGGAGCAACGCCGCGUGAGUGAUGAAGGUCUUCGGGUCGUAAAGCUCUGUUAUCAGGAAAGAAAACAUUGGCAAUAAAACGUUCAGGGGAUGACGGUACCGAAAGAGAAAGCACCGGCUAACUACGUG